rnacentral:lncRNA from 1 species
UGCUAUGUUUGGAAUACAAUUUUGAAAACAAAAGAGAGAGUUAUAAAUGUUGAAUAUACAUAUAAUGAAAGAGUGCAUAAUUUUGCCAAAAGCACAUGACCACCAUAUGUUUGAUGAAAGUUUUUGCAUGGUUUUGACUUGAGUUUCGGAACAUGAAAUCUUUUAUGCAAGUUACAUGUUUGGGUGGUCUAAAACUAUACUUUUAUGAAAGAUCAUGCUUAAUGCAUUAUGGCUCAGAAAUAGGACUUGCAAGUCUUGGUAUGACGAUACCAACUCAGACAAAUGCCAUAACAUACACAGACUUGUUCAGAAAUCAAAUUUUAUUAGACUUUCAUUAUUUUAAAACUUCAGAAUAAUAUAUAUUCAGAAAAGGUUAAAAUUUGGGCAUAAAGAGAUGUUAGGUGGUCUCCGAAGAAGGCGUGAGUUCAGACAACUCAUUGCCUAAAAUCGUGAUUUACUGAUCCGGGUAUAUUAUUAUAUGCUGGCUUAAGUGCCGUGUGGCCUAUCAGACUCAAACACUCUAACCGUUGUGGCACACUUGGGUUGGGGGCUUCCCCGCCGAUUCAAUGGUGGAUUCCAUAUAGCCCGUGGAAUAUCAUACUUGUACGGGAGUGCCACCUAACUCAGAAGUAAUACAAAGAUCAGAAAUUGUUUUGACAAGAAUGUCUUAUGAUUUUCGGGUGAUGCUCAUGUGUUUUCAAAAACUAUUUUAUUCAUGAUGUAUUGAUGAAAACUGCUCUAAUCUAUUAUAUAUAUGUUCAAAUACUUUAUUUUGGAUAGCUUCACGUACCAAUACAUUUGUGUUGACCCCCCCUCCUUCCAGGUUUUGAGACACAGUCUAGGGGUCGAGAUGAAUAGUAGGUAUUUCAGAUCAUAGAGAAGAUUGUGCAGGAGUGAGCCUUCUAUAUUCUAGAAGGCCUGUUUACCUUCAGAUAUUUAUCUUUUGUCAUGUUUUGGUCUACUGGGGGCCUUGUCCCAAUUUUCAGAUAGUUUUAUUUAGUUCAUAAUAGAGAUAUCGCAGACUGAGUCAGACAUUAUUAUUAUCCAAAUAUAUUUUGGAUUUUAAUUUUUUAGUAUUAUAAUCGCAUUUAGACUGACCAUGUAUUCGUAUUAGAUUUCUAUUUCUGCAUUAUCUUUUAUUAUAUGAAUGUGGUGCAUGAUUACCAGAUAGAUAGAGGGUGUCCUGGGCCUUCACAAUUCAGGAAUGCUCGUCAUGGCCAGGUCCCCAAUUUGGGUCAUGACAACUUGGUUUCAAAGCACGGUUCGUGGUCCUAGGGUGUCGACAAAAUCGAGUCAGGUAGAGUCUUGUUUAUGGGUUUGUAGCGCGCCACACUUAUAAGUAGAUGACUACUAGGCAUUUAGGAAUGUCUCUCUUUCUUCAUGUUCUAAUUCGUGCAAUUUAAUCAGAAUGUUUCUCUUUUAUACUCUAAUUCAUGCUAUGGUGUCACCCAUACGAAAGUAAAAAAUCAUCCCAAAUUUUUUUCUUACUCUAAUAUCCUCAGAUAUGUCUCAUUAUUGAGGUGAUUCAAGUGCAGAAGUUUAGAAUCUAAAUGGUAUGGUCCUUUCUGAUUGAACCAUAUAAGAGUUUAAAUUUGUGCAAGGACUUGAGAAGAGUUUUUUAGUACUUCAAUGUGUAUGGAUUCCUAUGUAAACAUUGAUCUUGAUGGAAUCGUGCUUUUCAGCUUGAGGUAUUAAUUGCAUUUAGUCCUCUUCAAAUUUCUGUUACAAAUGUCUUGCUUAAGGGAGAAUGAUGUGUAGUAGAAUGUUGGAGCUGUAUUUCCACCCGAAUAGUAGUAGGCGUUAAAGUGUUGUUGUCAUGAACUAUUGGUAGUGGAAUUAGACCAAGAAGUUGGUGCUGUGAAGUCACAAAGUUAGAAGUCAGAGAGAGGAUGACUUUUUGUGUAAAUGAAUAUUUUAGUUGAAUAACCAAUGUUCGAGAAUGAUUUACCCCCCUUAUGGUGAUAGACUAAUGUGGUAACUAGUAGCAUGUAUGGAUGGUAUGGUAGUCCAUGGAGGAAGUGUUUGACUCCGAUUUUAUUUAUACAGAGUAAGAUGUGUAUUCUUAGUUCAUUGGAUAUUGCGUAUUGAAUUUCUAUCUCAUGUAAUCUUGUCAUCAAGGUGUUGUUGAAAAAAAUAAAGUCUAGUGAAGCCGUGUGGGGCUAUUUUGAUUCACUAGCAUAGUUGACUUGUCAUUCAUCUCAUUUUCUUGUUCAAAAUACAAAAUCAAAGUCUAGUGGCGCCGUGUGAUGCCUAUUUCGAUUCACUAGCAACUUGUUGUUCUUGUGUUGGUUUUAUCUAUGUAUAGCUGAAUUUGUUUGCAUGAGAUUGAGUUGGUAAAGAGGUGAUUCUUCUUUGUGUGUUAGUUUAGUAGAAGGUAGAGAAGGAGUUGUUAGUUAGGGUGAUUUGUCGGUUGCUUUAAGUGUGAAAAUGGCAAUAUUAGCCAGUAAGUUGUAAGUAUAGACUCAUGGUUGUUUGUGGAAUUUGAAGGUAGUCUAAAUGUAUGCUUGGGUAAGUAAGCGUGAUGUGAGAAGCCGUAGAAGUAGAUAAGGGUUGUAUGGGGUUAUAGUAUAGGAUUAAUGUCAAUCAUGUCUAUUAUGUGACUUUACCCCUUGACCUUCUUUCCUUGGUAGUUGCAAACUAGUACUACUUGUGAGAAGGUAUGUAGUAGAUUUUUGAGGUAUAGUAGUAAUGUCAUAAAGGUGCUUUGGUUGUGGAUAAUAUCUAGAUAAAAUCAGGUAUUUGGGUUAGAAUGUCCCAAUUUGAUCGACUAGUAAAUUAUGUUGUAUACUUCAUGGGUGGUAUUUACUAAAUAAAACAAGUAUUAGCUGAUACCUAUGAUGCCUUACAACAUGUAUUUAUAGUACCUAAAAGUCCGUAAGUCAACAAGGUACAACAAUGCAAGCUAUACAAUUAUAAACUACAAGCUGAAAAUCUGAAAAUCCUGCUCAUGCAUGCCGAAAUUUCUGCACAGGCAUGCCAACCUUUGUGGACCUUUUAAAGCUGGAAAAUCUGCACUUUCAUACCAGCACGUGUGAACUUCCUAAAGUCUAAUAAAUGUGCUGCCAGCCUAUUUUGACCAUCUAGAAGGUGCUGGAACAUUGGCAGCAAUGCGGGGCAUUUAUCGAAGCCCCACCAAGCUCGAAAACGCCCCCUAAUAGUCCGAAACAUGCCCAAAAUGUGAGGAGUUUAAUGGGUUGUGAUGUUGAGUGUCACAAUGUGGUUGUAAAAAUAGUGACCUAAGAUUAAUGAUGUAUGUUUUGUAAGAAUUAUGUAUAAGGUUGGGUUGUAAAUCAUGUUUAGCACUAGACAUUAAGUUUGAACAAUUGAUGUCCAUGAAGGUGGAUGUGAUGAUUUCUUGGUUAAUAAUACUAGUUUUAUGGAAGUAAUCUAAUAGACUUGAAUGGUAUAUGCAAGAGCCUAAGUUUAUUUGAUUCAUAGUGAAGUAUGAUGUCGUAUAUAUAAUGUAGAAGUGUUCCCAAGGUGAUCUGAGGUUGCGAUAUUUUCUAAGACUAUUACACGUUUUGUGCAACGAGUGGUACCAUUGAGUUUCUAGGUGGAGAAAUACUAGUUUAAUGGUAUAUGGUGUUCUAAAUAGCCAAGUUAAGGAGUUUUGAUUGAUAGUGUUGAGCCUUUUUAUAUGAUCUUGAUUCUCAUAGUAGAGAGAUAUAAGUUUGGAGGCGUGAUAUUGGUAGGCUAUGUAGGAAGUAGUAUGAUUAAUUGAAGGCUUGGUGAUAUCCAUGUUGAGUGCUAGAUUCUAAGUUUGAGUUUUUGAAGGUUGAACUAAUAGAAAUAAGAGUUAAAGCACUAGAGGGUGUGCACUCCGACUAUGGGGAUACUCAUGAAGACCCGAAGUUAGUAAGUGUGCAAGUAUUAUAUAAUGACUGCUGGUUCUAUAGAAUGAUAAAGUGUAUCUCAGAAGGUAGUAUUAACAGUGGGUUUUCCACUUUCAGAUGUAGUCAUUCGGGUUAAGUGCCAUGAUAUGCGUGUAUAGUAGUUUUCCAGACCCCAUAGUGUAGUGAGUGUACUUCAGUUUUGAGUCUAGUAAGGGAUCUCUUAAACUUAAUAUGAUGGAUUGAAGCUAAGGGGGAGAUGAUAGAGCGAAUAACCAAUUCAGGCUUUCAGAUUCUAGUCGUGAUGUCAUGAUGAUAUAGAACGUCAGAAAGUGAGGGUGAGACUCAACCCAUUCUUAUCUUAGUAUUUUUUUUCUAGUUAUCCCAAUAUCUACUCAUGCCUUACGCUUCAGUCCAAUGAUCAAAAUUCAUGUUCAUGCUUAUGAUAGAGAAUCAUGUACUCUUCAAGUUCCAAAAUAAGAAGUUUCAGUUCAUUCAGUAGUCGGAAUCCCAUUCCAUAAGUUAUGAACUCCGAAUUGAGGUCAUGUAGCUCAUGACUCAUGUAAUCACGCUUUAUAGUAUGCUUGUCUUAGAUAAGACCAUAAGUAUGAAAUAAGAUCUGGGGCCAAGUUUUUGAUAUAUGUGAUGGUUAGUGAAAAUUUAUGUGUGUAUGUUCUUGGGGUAGCGCAUGGGAGUUCUAUUAAUAGUGGUUUAGAGAAUAUGUGAAGUGUGUUUUCAUGGGUAUUUGCCUUGAAGUUCAUAUGAGGUUAUAAAGAUAGGCUUGAAUGACAUGUUGGGAUUUUAGUGAAGGGACACAAUAUGCGCUAGUGAAUCUAUAGUAAGAGUUCAGAGUUAGUCAUUAAUGUGGGAAGUCAUGAUAUGCCUAGGGUGUGAACUUUAAAAAGAUAUGGAAGAUUGAAUCAUAUUGUUUAGACUGGUAUUAUGGUAUGACAUGUUGUAUUUUUGUCACUUGGAGUUAGGCUUGAUCGCAGUGAAAGGAUUUAAGCUACUAUAGACAUUGUAGAAAGAGCUAUCAAUGCCCAUAUGAGAAUUAUAAGUUGAAUGGAAUGAAUAUGGUAUUUAAGGGAAAUAGUAUAGUUAAGGGAGUAUUAAAGAAGUGUACUAAGCUUGAAAAACAAGAAGUUGCAUUGUCCAAGAUCUUUUCCUUCAUAAUGCUACUAGAAUUUCUUUAGACAGAGUGUUGAAGAGAUACUCCCGUUGAAUAUAAGUUUUCGGUGUAUGUCAGUUUAGCAAUGAAGCAGACAAGUUACGGUGGUUUUUCACCUUUUCACCCAAUCCUUCUAUCCGAAGUCUCAUGCGUAUGACCAUCCCAAGAGAUUAUGUAUUUUAUCCUAAGUUGCAAAUUCAGUUCAGUCAAAGCAUCAUGUUUUAGAUUCAGCUAUUUAGUCCAGACUCAGUUCAUAAGUGUUCAGUGCAUAAUCUCAAAUACUUCCAAAUAUUUUAGCCCAGCUAGUAUAAUACCCUGGUACAAUCUAAGUCUUGAUGCAUCAUGAUUCAUAAUUGCAUAAUUUAUCACUUCUCAAUUCAAUAUGUAUGAUUGGAUCAUGAACACUUCAAGGGAAUCCUAAACUCUUAGCAUGAAUCAGCUUCUUGAAGCAAGUAAGGGCAACUCAACUCAGAAUUCAAUUUCGUGAUACAAGUUAAAUAUUUCAGAUCAGUUAUAUACUUUUUUAGAAGACACAUCAUGUCAGCUUCAUUCUAUACCUUUGAGCUUCAAUAUUUCCAAUACAGCAUUCAAGGACGAAUGAUCCCAAGGGGGAGAUAAUGUAACACCCCGUAAAAGUCGUGCAUGGAUUAGCCUUUCAUAGAGUGCUCUUAGACUUAAAAACUUGAAAAUUUUUUGAAGUGUAAUGAGGACUUAGAGUCAUUUUAGCUGGCAAUCUUUGGGAUACAACUUUUAAACCUUUUGGACCUCCAUUUUUAGAUUUUCAAGUUGCGUUACAAUUGGACAACCUCAUAGUACAUCUCGGAUAAGUUUCGGAAUUUUUCGGAACGCAUAAGGCUGCAUUUGGAUUUCAAAAUAGUAGCAAAAAGCAUAGCCUGUUGCCCAUUUUUCAGCAUUUCAGGGUCAACUUCAAAAGAUCAUAACUCUCUCAAUAUAAUGAACUGGGAGAGCUGAUACCUAUAAAAUAAAAACUCUUUGAGUUUUAUUUCCAAUGAAACUAGUUUUAUCAAAAUCCAACAUCUGAGUAAGGAUUUAUACCUAUUUUACUUCAGCCUGUCAGUUUAUCAACUAAGGGAUAGUUUCGACUUUUUUUUGUUUUCUUAGGGUAUUUUAGUCAUUUCACCUCACCCAAAUUUCGUCUAUAACACCAAAUUUAGCCCCCAAUUCAUCAAAAUAUAAUCCUUUUCUCAAAUUUUCUCUCAAGAACACCCCUUAGGGUUUCAAACAAAAAUCUCAAAUAACUCAAGAUUCAACCUUGGGUUUUGGAAGAUAAUUAGAGAUUUGGAAUCCCCACAACGUAGGCUUCAAGGAUCAUCCCUCAAUUUCUUAAAUAGAGGUACGCGGGAUUUUCCUAAAUUCUCAUGGGCAUACAACUCAUGCUUUAAGAAAGGUGUUUUUGAAUUCAUGUAUAUAUUCAUGUUUUAGAAGCUUUAAAUGAUAUUGUUUUAGCCUUUUGGCUUUCCCCCAAAGUGACUUGAAAAUUAUAUGUAUAUGUAUAUAUGUGUUUUGCCGUGAAAUAUGAAUUGAGGGCACGAUUUACAUGAAAUCCCUCUCUUGAUGUAAUUUUCCCAUAUUUCACAUAAUAUAGAUUGUUUUGAAAUACGUCUUGAAAAAUCAUGAUAUGAAAUGCUUUGACUUUGCUUUGUUUGGAAUACGAUUUUGAACACAAAAGAGAGGCUUGUGAAUAUUGAAUAUACAAAUAAUGAAAGAGGGCAUAAUUUUGCCAAAAGCACAUGACCACCAUAUGUUUGAUGAAAGUUUUUGCAUGGUUUUGACUUGAGUUUCGGAACAUGAAAUCUUUUAUGCAAAUUACAUGUUUGGGUGGUCUGAAACUACACUUUUAUGAAAUAUCAUGCUUAACCCAUUAUGGCUCAGAAAUAGGACUUGCAAGUCUU